AACUCGUUUGAAAAGAACGCUCGUCAAACAGGGGUUUGGCCACAACAUUUACAACAAACAUGUCCUAAUUCAGUAAGGAACCCAUCUCCUCCGGCAGCUGUCCAGGCAGAAUUCUGACACAUUUGCGGCGCGUCUUCAUGUUCCGAGGGCAAAGCGACACACGGCCACUCAGACACGCAGAAAGAGAAGUUUUCAAGGUCUCAUUCACAUAUGGAUCUCGAAAAACUAUGUGUCUCAUGGUGAAAGAUUGGGGAUGAAAUAAAAAAGAAGAAUGAAACUAAUGUGGAGUCACACAAGAGAGUAGCAGAAAGGAGUCACCAUUCUUUAGGCAUUUCAAGUUUUGGCUUUAAACAGGCAAAGGUAUAGAUAAGGACAAAUCUGUGGAGAUUAGGUUGAAGAAUAUAGAGGUAUGAGUAAUCCCUAAAAAUGAAACUUCUUUGUCACGAGAGACACACGGUCUACAUGCAAGUUAUGUUGCUGCAACGUAUCACUUGCCAGCAGGAAUUCUGGCUUUUCCUGCCGACUCGGUUAAAAGGAUGAAAGUUAAAUAAUCCAGGUAAAAGAUCAUUGUCAAUUUUGUUAUUUUUGGGUGACGUCAUUGUGGCAGAGAGUUGCACUUUAGAUUCACCUUUAAUGUGCAUUUAAGAUUUGCCUCCCUUUAUUUUCUCUGGCGUGCCAAAGUAGAGUUUCAACCUUCAUAGACUUUCCCUUUUUUCCCUGAUAUUUUUAUAACAUUGUAUGGACAUCUAUUGUCAUCUAUCAUUCACUUAGUCUUCAUUAUUUUA